rnacentral:rRNA from 1 species
GUGGGGAAUAUUGGACAAUGGGCGAAAGCCUGAUCCAGCCAUGCCGCGUGUGUGAAGAAGGUCUUCGGAUUGUAAAGCACUUUAAGUUGGGAGGAAGGGCAGUAAGUUAAUACCUUGCUGUUUUGACGUUACCAACAGAAUAAGCACCGGCUAACUCUGUGCCAGCAGCCGCGGUAAUACAGAGGGUGCAAGCGUUAAUCGGAAUUACUGGGCGUAAAGCGCGCGUAGGUGGUUCGUUAAGUUGGAUGUGAAAUCCCCGGGCUCAACCUGGGAACUGCAUCCAAAACUGGCGAGCUAGAGUAGGGCAGAGGGUGGUGGAAUUUCCUGUGUAGCGGUGAAAUGCGUAGAUAUAGGAAGGAACACCAGUGGCGAAGGCGACCACCUGGGCUCAUACUGACACUGAGGUGCGAAAGCGUGGGGAGCAAACAGGAUUAGAAACCCUGGUAGUCC